rnacentral:rRNA from 1 species
GACGAACGCUGGCGGCGUGCCUAAUACAUGCAAGUCGAACGCAGUGGGGACGGGUGAGUAACACGUGGGUAACCUCCCAUCAGAGGGGAUAACACUUGGAAACAGGUGCUAAACCGAUACUGAUGGAUGGACCCGCGGUGCAUUAGCUAGUUGGUGAGGUAACGGUUCACCAAGGCCACGAUGCAUAGCCGAUCUGAGAGGGUGAUCGGCCACACUGGGACUGAGACACGGCCCAGACUCCUACGGGAGGCAGCAGUGGGGAAUCUUCGAGAAUGGACGAAAGUCUGACCGAGCAAGGCCGCGUGAGUGAAGAAGGUUUUCGGAUCGUAAAACACUGUUAUUAGAGAAGCGGUAUCUAACCAAAAAGCAACGGCUAACUACGUGCCAGCAGCCGCGGUAAUUC